rnacentral:lncRNA from 1 species
UGGAGUAAGUUAUUCAAAGAUAACUUAUUUGAUAUAAGAAUUUUUUAGUGUAAUUGUAAGGAAAGAGUUUGAUCAUUGCUUCUUGAAAGCUUUCGAUAUCUAUAAUUUGAUAUGAUAGUAUUUUUUAUCUAUGUGGUGAUUUAUCUUAUCCAAAAAAAUAACUUUAAAGCUGAAUAUAUAUAAUAUUUAUACUAGACAUUUGAUCACACUCUUCAUCAACCAAAUGUACAAGCUUCUCAAGUAAGUCAAAGAGAUGUAACGAACAAGAUUCGUACAUCCAAAUCGGACCAAAGAGUAAAUUACACUUUUGGCUUGCAAACUAUGCGAUGCGUGGCGGUAGGUCCUUAAACUUUUAUUUAUUUCAAUUUCUGACUUGAAUUUUCUAAAUUGUUGCAAGUCAAGUCCCAACGUCCAAUUUAGUCAAGCUAAAUAUUGACAAAUUAUGAUGUAAAAAUAAUGUGAAAAUAUUGGAUUGAUGAUGCGACAAUAAUUAAAUGUUACAUCAUUUAUAAUCAAUAAUUUUUUAAUAUUUAACCAACUAAAUUGGAUUAUAAUAAAUUAUAACAAUUCAAAAAAUUCAAAUAAGAAAUUAUAAUAAAUUAAAGUUAAGGGAGGUCACCCAUCCUAAAACU